rnacentral:rRNA from 1 species
GAUGAACGCUAGCUACAGGCUUAACACAUGCAAGUCGCGGGGCAGCAUGGGGGUUGCUUGCAAUCCCCGAUGGCGACCGGCGCACGGGUGAGUAACGCGUAUCCAACCUGCCCUUCACCACGGGAUAACCCGGCGAAAGUCGGACUAAUACCGUAUGUUGUCCAUUGACGGCAUCCGAUUUGGACGAAAGGUUUGGCGGUGAAGGAUGGGGAUGCGUCCGAUUAGCUGGACGGCGGGGUGACGGCCCACCGUGGCGACGAUGGGUAGGGGUGCUGAGAGGAAGGUCCCCCACACUGGAGCUAAGACACGGUCCAGACUCCUACGGGAGGCAGCAGUGAGUAAUAUUGGUCAAGGGGCGUAAGCCUGAACCAGCCAAGUAGCGUGCAGGAGGCCGGCCCUAUGGGUUGUAAACUGCUUUUAUGCGGGGAUAAAGUGGCCCACGUGUGGGUUUUUGCAGGUACCGCAUGAAUAAGGACCGGCUAAUUCCGUG